GCCAGGCAUGGUGGCACGUGCCUGUAGUCCCAGCUACUCGGGAGGCUGAGACAGGAGAAUCGGUUGAACCCGGGAGGCGGAGCUUGCAGUGAGCCGAGAUCACGCCACUGCACUCCAGCCUGGGAGACAGAGCGAGACUCCAUUUCUUUUUUCUCUCUCUUUUUUUUUUUUUUUUUUGGAGACGGAGUCUCGCUCUGUCGCCCAGGCUGGAGUGCAGUAGGUGAUCUCGGCUCACUGCAAGCUCCGCCUCCCGGGUUCAACUGAUUCUCCUGCU
rnacentral:SRP_RNA from 1 species